GGACCUUCCACCAAUAUUCCUGAAAAUGAUACUGUGGAUGGUAGGGAAGAAAAGUCUGCUUCUGAUUCUUCUGGAAAACAGUCUACUCAGGUUAUGGCAGCAAGUAUGUCUGCUUUUGAUCCUUUAAAAAACCAAGAUGAAAUCAAUAAAAAUGUUAUGUCAGCGUUUGGCUUAACAGAUGAUCAGGUUUCAGGGCCACCCAGUGCUCCUGCAGAAGAUCGUUCAGGAACACCCGACAGCAUUGCUUCCUCCUCCUCAGCAGCUCACCCACCAGGCGUUCAGCCACAGCAGCCACCAUAUACAGGAGCUCAGACUCAAGCAGGUCAGAUGUACCAACAGUACCAGCAACAGGCCGGCUAUGGUGCACAGCAGCCGCAGGCUCCACCUCAGCAGCCUCAACAGUAUGGUAUUCAGUAUUCAGCAAGCUAUAGUCAGCAGACUGGACCUCAACAACCUCAGCAGUUCCAGGGAUAUGGCCAGCAACCAACUUCCCAGGCACCAGCUCCUGCCUUUUCUGGUCAGCCUCAACAACUGCCUGCUCAGCCGCCACAGCAGUACCAGGCGAGCAAUUAUCCUGCACAAACUUACACUGCCCAAACUUCUCAGCCUACUAAUUAUACUGUGGCUCCUGCCUCUCAACCUGGAAUGGCUCCAAGCCAACCUGGGGCCUAUCAACCAAGACCAGGUUUUACUUCACUUCCUGGAAGUACCAUGACCCCUCCUCCAAGUGGGCCUAAUCCUUAUGCGCGUAACCGUCCUCCCUUUGGUCAGGGCUAUACCCAACCUGGACCUGGUUAUCGAUAAGGAGGCUCCUCUACACCAAUUAAUGUAGCUGCUAGCUAUUGGCCUCCCAAAAGACUCCAGUACUAUUUUAAUUUGUAUUGAAGAAGUUCAGAAAUUUAAAAGCAGAGCAUUUUUUAUGAUAUCAUUGUUGGUGUUAAUUGAAAGUAUAAUUUGCUGGAACACAAAGACCAAAAUGAAAGUUUUUUCCUCCCUGCUUAAAAAUGUAGCAGCUUCUUAGUUACUUUGGAACACUACUCUUACAUGUAUAAAGUGAUUGACUUGACUUUCUAGCUUCCCUUGUCCGGAGGAUAUUAAAAUGCUAGGGUGAGGUUUAGCCAUCUUACUUGGCUUUUUACUAUUAACAUGAUGUACUAAAGUAGAGCCCUUUGAGAAUACAAGAUAUUAUGUAUAAAAUGUAACACUGAUGAUAGGUUAAUAAAGAUGAUUGAAUCC
rnacentral:lncRNA from 1 species